GCAGUCGCCCUGCGCGCCUCCCCGCGAGGCUUGUUUUCUAGCGCCUCUGGUGGGCCGCCUCCCGCAGGCCUGGUGUGAGCCUGGGGUCCGUUCUCACAGCUGGAUCUGGGGUCUGAAUGCCGCGCCCUCUGGAGAGCCACAGAUGGGUCUCCGCUGAUGCUUCUCUCAAUUUCCUCUAAGAGCGAGAGCUCCGGGAAAGGAGCCGAUCCUGGUGGAAGACUACAGGUCUGAGUCCACUGGACGAAAAACGAGGCUCCUUGGAUUAGAGACCAUCCUGAGGACAUCCUUGGGAGCCAUGUGCUGAAGAUGGCCAAGCCACAGGAUGAAAGGAGCUGCAUCUUUGAGUCACCACUGGAGAAAGGUCUCUCUAAAUGGAUUUGCAGAGACGUCUUCUCGAAUACUCCCCUUCUAAGUUCCACUUGUAAUCCACUUCUUCUAUUCUCCCAGCAAUCAAUGUGGUUUGGGGAAAUUCCAGAAUCUCAUAAUACCUUGGUCAUGGGUAAAUAAGGAAAGGACCUUUACAUACAUGUGAUGCAAAGCAGAUCAAAACAAGCAGAGCAGCCUAAGAGCAGCAAGACCCCAAAGGAUAAGGGAAGUCCUGCAGAAGAGCAGAGCGGUGCUGCAAAGGCAGGCAGGUAAGGUAAGCAGACAGGGCCAUCAGGAUGGAUCCUUUGGGCAUGCCAGCAUCCACCAGGGACUGGUAGAGCUAUUUAGAGAAACUGAUAAAAAGCUCUGCCAACUACAGUCACAAAAGAUGGAGCUCAGAAUGAUGAGUAGAUGCCUAAAACAUCUCCAUUUUGUUGAUGAAGAAAGUAAAGUUUAUAGAGCUUAGAUUAUUUGCUUUUGUACCUAGCACAGUACUUAGUUUAUAGUAGAUGCACAAUAAGUAUUUGUUUAAUGAGUGAAUGAGUCACUAGCCUAAGACCUUUAAUAUAACAUGCUUAAACCUGCUACCAGGGAUUGGGAACUCACCUAUUUAGUAGUGAGUAGAGGGGUGUGGUACUGGUACUUAAGACAGAUGCAUUGUGGUUGGGUAUGGUGUGUUUUUGUUUUUGUUUUGAGACAGGUUCUCCCUCUGUUGCCCAGGCUGAGAUGCAGUGGCAUUAUCAUGGCUCACUGCAGCCUUAACCUCCCGGGGCUCAAGCGAUCCUCCCACCUCAGCCUCUGAGUAGCUGGGACCACAGGUACGCAUCACCGUGCCUGGCUAAUUUUGUUUUUUGUUUGUUUGUUUUGUAGGGACGGGAUUUUGCCAUGUUGCCCAGGUUGGUCUCGAACUCCUGGGCUCAAGCUACACCCGCCCGCCUCGGCCUCCCAAAGUUGUAGGAUUAAGGUGUGAGCCACUGUGUCCAGCAGAUAUAAUGUUUUUAAAAGUUUGAGAGUUAAUAUGCUCUCUGGUGUGCCCUAGGUCCCACUACUCCUAUUGCCUUAAAACUCACGCAGUACACAUUUGUCUUCCAUGGGCUUCAGUUGUAAGAGAACCCUUUCUACUCUUUGCUGUUCACAAGUCUCCUUUUAAACAGAGCUUGUUCCCAAUGCUGUUUUGUUUUGCCCUCUGCCAUGUUCUUCCGGCCAUCACCUCCUGUGGGGAAAAGAGAGAGAGAUCACAUUGUUACUGUGUCUGUGUAGAAAGAAGUAGACAUAGGAGACUCCAUUUUGUUCUGUACUAAGAAAAAUUCUUCUGCCUUGAGAUGCUGUUAAUCUAACCCUAGCCCCAACCCUGUGCUCCCUGAGACAUAUGCUGUGUCAACUCAGGGUUAAAUGGAUUAAGGGCUGUGCAAGAUGUGCUUUGUUAAAGAAAUGCUUGAAGGCAGCAUGCUCGUUAAGAGUCAUCUCCACUCCCUAAUCUCAAGUACUCAGGGACACAAAACACUGAGGAAGGCCACAGGGACCUCUGCCUAGGAAAGCCAGGUAUUGUCCAAGGUUUCUCCCCAUGUGAUAGUCUGAAAUGUGGCCUCGUGGGAAGGGAAAGACCUGACCGUCCCCCAGCCCGACACCCGUAAAGGGUCUGUGCUGAGGAGGAUUAGUAAAAGAGGAAGGAACGCCUCUUUGCAGUUGAGACAAGAGGAAGGCAUCUGUCUCCUGCUCGUCCCUGGGCAAUGGAAUGUCUCAGUGUAAAACCCGAUUGUAUAUUCCAUCUACUGAGAUAGGGGAAAACUGCCUUAGGGCUGGAGGUGGGACAUGCUGGCAGCAAUACUGCUCUUCAAGUCAUUGAGAUGUUUAUGUGUAUGCAUAUCUAAAGCACAGCACUUAAUUCUUUACCUUGUUUAUGAUGCAGAGACCUUUGUUCACGUGUUUACCUGCUGACCUUCUCUCCACUAUUAUCCUUUGACCCUGCCACAUCCCCCUCUCCGAGAAACACCCAAUAAUGAUCAAUAAAUACUAAGGGAACUCAGAGGCCGGUGGGAUCCUCCGUAUGCUGAACACCGGUCCCCUGGACCCCUUUUUUUCUUUCUCUA
rnacentral:lncRNA from 1 species